GAUGAACGCUGGCGGCGUGCCUAAUACAUGCGAGUCGAGCGAACAGACGAGGAGCUUGCUCCUCUGACGUUAGCGGCGGACGGGUGAGUAACACGUGGAUAACCUACCUAUAAGACUGGGAUAACUUCGGGAAACCGGGGCUAAUACCGUAUAACAUGUUGAACCGCAUGGUUCAACAGUGAAAGACGGUCUUGCUGUCACUUAUAGAUGGAUCCGCGCCGCAUUAGCUAGUUGGUAAGGUAACGGCUUACCAAGGCAACGAUGCGUAGCCGACCUGAGAGGGUGAUCGGCCACACUGGAACUGAGACACGGUCCAGACUCCUACGGGAGGCAGCAGUAGGGAAUCUUCCGCAAUGGGCGAAAGCCUGACGGAGCAACGCCGCGUGAGUGAAGAAGGUCUUCGGAUCGUAAAACUCUGUUAUUAGGGAAGAACAAAUGUGUAAGUAACUAUGCACGUCUUGACGGUACCUAAUCAGAAAGCCACGGCUAACUACGUG
rnacentral:rRNA from 1 species